rnacentral:rRNA from 1 species
GGGUCCGUGAGAGCAGGACCUUCAGUUCGGCUGGUUGGGUGACAGGUGCGUGCAUGGCGUGUCGUCAGCUCGUGUCGUGAGAUGUUGGGUUAAGUCCCGCAACGAGCGCAACCCACGCCCUCAGUUGCCAGCAUUCAGUUGGGCACUCUGGGGGAACCGCCGGUGACAAGCCGGAGGAAGGUGUGGAUGACGUCAAGUCCUCAUGGCCCUUACGAGGUGGGCUACACACGUGCUACAAUGGCGGUGACAGUGGGUUAAUCCCAAAAAACCGUCUCAGUCGGGGUCUGCAACUCGACCCCGUGAAGUCGGAAUCGCUAGUAAUCGCAGAUCAGCNUGCCGCGGUG